ACGACCGCAUCACUUUGAAACACCGGAUUCCGUAAGAUCACCUAAGUUGAGCAACGUCGAGUCUGGUCAGAACCUAGAUGGGUAACCGCUUGGGAAUACCAGGUGCCA